GACCAAGGUUCGACUCGAGCGCCAGCGAGAGAGCGUUGCCGCAGGCAACGACCCGAAGGGCGAAGCGCGCAGCGCUGAGUAAUCCUUCCCCCACCACCA
rnacentral:sRNA from 1 species